rnacentral:lncRNA from 1 species
CUAUUUUAUUCUAUAAAUAUAAAUUUUAUUUAUUUUCAUAUAUAAAGUCAUCUAUCUAAUAUAUAAGUUAUAUUAUAUGUUCGUCACAUUUAUAUGUUAUAUACAUCUUAUUCAUUGAUCAAACGUUUGCCACUUUCACGCGAGAAAGCGUAUUGUCGCGUUAAUAAUCAUUGCAUUUACGACUUUUAAAUACGUUGAUUCAACGACUACGACAGAAAGUAAAAUACUUGCACGAAUCGUUCAUCUCAAUGAUUAGCACGUAAUUUCGUAAUAAAACUUAUGAAACUUCUUUAAUCUCUAUCAAUUGGAUGAUUUCACGAUGUAAUCAAUCGGAUAUAACAUUGAGCGCAAUCAUGAUGAUUAAUUGUAUUUUAUCGAGACGUUUUCUUUCAAAAAAAUGUGAGAUACGCACAAUAGUCUUAUCUAGUUGCAAUAAAAUGAUAGUGAUUUUCCAAGAUUUCCAAAUUAUUAAUUUUCUCUUCAACACUUAAAUUCUAUUCUAAGUAAUAAAAGUAACUAUUAAAAUUUAUUUCUAACAAUAAAGUUAUUAUGUAUUAUGAUAAAUAUUUCUAUUAAGAAUAUUCCAUUAUGAAUAUUCCAUAAGAAAAAAAUAACUGUAUUUAAUUGUAUUUUUUAGGUUAAUUAAUCAUAACCUAAUUAUAUCAUAUUUCAAGUUAUUUUUUCUCUUGAAAUUGUGUUGGAUGUUCUUGUAAGUGGAGCAAUUGUUCAAAUAUUUUUCUUUAUUUUAAUUAUUAAUAUCAAUUGAUAAUUAUACAUAUACAUAGCUUAAUUUUCAGAAGAUUAGAAUCGGUUUCAUGUAUACUGACAAUAAACUUUAUGAAAUAUAUAAUGAAAAUUACAUACUUGCAUAAAAUUUUAAUAUAAAAAAUUCUUCAAAGGCUAGUUUCAUUAGAUGAAUUUAUCGAUCGAAUAAAAAGAUAAUUUGUUAAUAUUCAGUGGAGAAGUAAAUACCUUUUAGAUAGAUCGAACAUAACCAAAGAAAUGGAAAGUUAGAUAGAAAUUUAUUUCAAUUAUUAUAAUACGAAGAAAGUAUAAGAAAGAAGAAAUACUGGGGAGGGAACGAGAGUACGGUCGAAAAAUUACAAGCGUCGAAGAAGAUAGGAAAAGUACAUAAAUGUAGAAGAAAGGAAGAAGAAAAAAAAAGGAAAAAAAGAAAAAUAAGAAAAGACCAAAUAAGAUAAGGAGACGAGAGGUGGAACGAGUUUAAGAUGGAAGAGGAGUAAAGUCGCAGGGAAAGGAGGAAUGGCGAACAAGAAAGACAGGGAACAAAGAAAUGGAGGGGAUAGAAUGUCGAAGCUAGGACUUUGACCGGCCGUUGGCCCCUGAUGCGGUCGCCUCUAACCGGCAAACCGAACGGAUCCUCCCAAGAAAAUUCUGUCCUCUGGUCUCUCAAUUCGUGUACACGUAUUAUACGUAUCUUGUUCCAUCCUUGUUUCUCACUAUACCCGAUCCAUUCAUUUAUAUAUCAUUUAUAACGCAAGAGAGAAUCGCGAAACGAUCGUCGAUUAAUUAACAUUACGUUAUUAAAAUUGGAGAAAUGAUUUUAAUGUACGAUUAUUAUAAAUUAAAAUAAUCUUAAUGAUCUUUUUUUCAAUUAAUACAUUUUUUUAUCUUAUAGGUCAGAAUAGAAGUACUUUAUCUCGAAUAUAAUACGACGUUAAUCGUAAAAAUGAUAUUGCGAAAAUUAAUAAAAGUGAAAAAAAUUGAA